UUAGAUACCCUGGUAGUCCACGCAGUAAACGAUGAAUGCUAGUUGUCCGGGGCGAUUGAGUUCUGGGUGACACAGCGAAAGCGUUAAGCAUUCCACCUGGGGAGUACGCCGGCAACGGUGAAACUCAAAGGAAUUGACGGGGGCCCGCACAAGCGGAGGAACAUGUGGUUUAAUUCGAUGAUACGCGAGGAACCUUACCCGGGCUCAAACGCAGGAGGGAUGUUUUUGAAAGGAGGCAGCCAGCAAUGGUCUCCUGCGAGGUGCUGCAUGGUUGUCGUCAGCUCGUGCCGUGAGGUGUCGGCUUAAGUGCCAUAACGAGCGCAACCCCUACCUACAGUUGCCAUCGCGUGAUGGCGGGCACUCUGUGGGGACUGCCUGCGCAAGCAGUGAGGAAGGCGGNGAUGACGUCAAAUCAGCACGGCCCUUACGUCCGGGGCGACACACGUGUUACAAUGGCAGGUACAGCGGGAAGCCACCCGGCGACGGNGCGCGGAACCCGAAAACCUGUCUCAGUUCGGAUUGGAGUCUGCAACCCGACUCCAUGAAGCUGGAUUCGCUAGUAAUCGCGCAUCAGCCACGGCGCGGUGAAUACGUUCCCCGGCCUUGUACACACCGNCCGUCAAGCCAUGGAAGCCCGGGGGUGCCCUGAAUGCGUGACCCGCAAGGAGCGCCCCUAGGGUUAAAACCGGUGACUUGGGGCUAAAA
rnacentral:rRNA from 1 species